UAAAGUAACAAUUUCAUAAAAAGAUUGAACAACUUAAAUUGUUGAACUUGGUGUAUCAGUAAAGUAACUCUCCCCUUUUAACAACUGACUGUGAAAAACUUGGUAAAAGGAGCAAUGAAAACUACUGGCAGGAAAAAUAACACGUUGCUUUUGCAACAUCAGCCUCAGGACUACGCGCAGCAUGGUUCUCACUCAGUCCAGUCUAGUCUAUGGCAAGUGACCGACCGAAACUGUGGCCAUGAACAGGAUACAUCAGAGUGCUGUAACUUUGUCCUGGGGCUUGGGUUCGGAAGGCAUAGUAAAUAGUUUGGCCAAGAUUUCAAAAACAGUUAACUAUUAUACGAGCUGAGUGAGAUGUCUGACAGCGAACAAUGCUUGCCUUGCCUUUCCUUGCCGGUGAACAAGUUUGCCGUGCCAGCUUUCGAGGCAAGCAAUCGAAUUAAAAUCCAUAAAAAGUGAACACGAUAAAGUUUGACUGAAUGACGUCGCUUUGUCAUCGCUCCCGUCGCUGACGUCUUCUUCUCACUCCCGCUGUCGCCUGACGUUCGCUGCAACUGACAGCAAAGCCGAAUGUACGUGCAUUGCAAUGCCUCGGCAAGCAGCGCACCAAGGCUAG